rnacentral:rRNA from 1 species
GACGAACUUUGGCGGCGUGCUUAACACAUGCAAGUCGAACGGUAAGGCUCCAGCUUGCUGGGGUACACGAGUGGCGAACGGGUGAGUAACACGUGGGUGACCUGCCCUGCACUUCGGGAUAAGCCUGGGAAACUGGGUCUAAUACCGGAUAGGACCGCACCGUGAGGGUGUGGUGGAAAGUUUUUUCGGUGUGGGAUGGGCCCGCGGCCUAUCAGCUUGUUGGUGGGGUAAUGGCCUACCAAGGCGGCGACGGGUAGCCGGCCUGAGAGGGUGGACGGCCACAUUGGGACUGAGACACGGCCCAGACUCCUACGGGAGGCAGCAGUGGGGAAUAUUGCACAAUGGGCGGAAGCCUGAUGCAGCGACGCCGCGUGGGGGAUGACAGCCUUCGGGUUGUAAACUCCUUUCACCAUCGACGAAGGGUUUCUGACGGUAGAUGGAGAAGAAGCACCGGCUAACUACGUGCCAGCAGCCGCGGUAAUACGUAGGGUGCGAGCGUUGUCCGGAAUUACUGGGCGUAAAGAGCUCGUAGGUGGUUUGUCGCGUCGUCUGUGAAAUUCCGGGGCUUAACUCCGGGCGUGCAGGCGAUACGGGCAUAACUUGAGUACUGUAGGGGAGACUGGAAUUCCUGGUGUAGCGGUGAAGUGCGCAGAUAUCAGGAGGAACACCGGUGGCGAAGGCGGGUCUCUGGGCAGUAACUGACGCUGAGGAGCGAAAGCAUGGGGAGCGAACAGGAUUAGAUACCCUGGUAGUCCAUGCCGUAAACGGUGGGCGCUAGGUGUGGGUUUCCUUCCACGGGAUCCGUGCCGUAGCUAACGCAUUAAGCGCCCCGCCUGGGGAGUACGGCCGCAAGGCUAAAACUCAAAGGAAUUGACGGGGGCCCGCACAAGCGGCGGAGCAUGUGGAUUAAUUCGAUGCAACGCGAAGAACCUUACCUGGGCUUGACAUAUACAGGAUCGCGCCAGAGAUGGUGUUUCCCUUGUGGCUUGUAUACAGGUGGUGCAUGGUUGUCGUCAGCUCGUGUCGUGAGAUGUUGGGUUAAGUCCCGCAACGAGCGCAACCCUUGUCUUAUGUUGCCAGCACGUUGUGGUGGGGACUCGUAAGAAACUGCCGGGGUUAACUCGGAGGAAGGUGGGGAUGACGUCAAAUCAUCAUGCCCCUUAUGUCCAGGGCUUCACACAUGCUACAAUGGUCGGUACAGUGGGUUGCCAGUCCGUGAGGGCGAGCUAAUCCCGCAAAGCCGGUCUCAGUUCGGAUCGGGGUCUGCAACUCGACCCCGUGAAGUCGGAGUCGCUAGUAAUCGCAGAUCAGCAACGCUGCGGUGAAUACGUUCCCGGGCCU